CCUACGGGUGGCAGCAGUGGGGAAUAUUGGACAAUGGGGGCAACCCUGAUCCAGCCAUGCCGCGUGUGUGAAGAAGGCCCUCGGGUUGUAAAGCACUUUCAGUGAGGAAGAACGCCUGGUGGUUAAUACCCAUCAGGAAAGACAUCACUCACAGAAGAAGCACCGGCUAACUCCGUGCCAGCAGCCGCGGUAAUACGGAGGGUGCGAGCGUUAAUCGGAAUUACUGGGCAUAAAGCGCGCGUAGGUGGCUUGAUAAGCCGGUUGUGAAAGCCCCGGGCUCAACCUGGGAACGGCAUCCGGAACUGUCAAGCUAGAGUGCAGGAGAGGAAGGUAGAAUUCCCGGUGUAGCGGUGAAAUGCGUAGAGAUCGGGAGGAAUACCAGUAGCGAAGGCGGCCUUCUGGACUGACACUGACACUGAGGUGCGAAAGCGUGGGUAGCAAACAGGAUUAGAUACCCCAGUAGUC
rnacentral:rRNA from 1 species